ACAGGGUCUCACUUUGUUGCCGAGGAUGGUCUAUGAACUCCUGGCCUCAAGCUAACCUCCUACCUCAGCCUCCCAAAGUGCUGGAAUUAACAAGUGUGAGCCAGUGGGCAUGGCCAGCUGUGCGAUUUUUUGAUUAGCUGAACAGAUUUCAGUUGUCUGGAAACCGCAACAUUUUUAUUGCUGCCACAGAUAGAAAUGAACAACUGGAAUGUCUUUCACUUCACCUCUCCAGAAUGCCAAUGCAAAAGGACUGACCUACGUCAACAGUAGACUAUGGUGGAAAAGAUGGUGUGUAACUUCUGAGAUUGGGUAAUAAAAGAUAUUGUGACUUCCUCCUUGUUAUUCUUGGAUUAAUCACUUUGGAGGAAGUUACCUAACAUGUCAGGAAGACAAUCAUGAUAGUCCUAUGGAGAGACCCUUGAGGAAAGGAAGUGAGGCCUCCUGCCAGCAACUGUGGGAAUGAGCCACCUUCCCAUGGCUGACGUCUUGAUUGUAACCUCAUGAAAGAACCUGAGCCAAAACCAUCCAGAGUCAAAAAAGUAGCCAGGUGGAGGACGACUCAAGAUGGCGCUGUGAGAACAACCCAGGAUUGAGGCUCUCGCUGGAUGCACGGAGAAGGGACAUGGAUGAAUCUGGAGAACAUCAUCCUCAGCAAACUGACACAAGAACAGAAAACAAAACACCGCAUAUUCUCACUCAUAGGAAAACGUCACUGGCAGCAUCAAAGCAUGAAAUUUUCCUGUCAUUCAUUGCACAUAAAAAUGUUCUGUUUCUCCUGGCUUUUAUGGAAACAUGACAUUGACUAUCACGAAAAAGUGGCUGGAGUGCAAUGGCGCAAACUCGGCUCACCGCAACCUCCGCCUCCUGGGUUCAAGCAAUUCUCCUCCGUCAGCCUCCUGAAUAUCUAGGAUUACAGGCACGCACCACCAUGCCCAGCUAAUUUUGUGUAUUUUUAGUAGAGACGGCGUUUCACCAUGUUGACCAGGAUGGUCUUGAUCUCUUGACCUCGUGAUCCACCCACCUCGGCCUCCCAAAGUGCUGGGAUUACAGGCUUGAGCCACCACACCUGGCCUUAUAUAUUAUAUUUCUAUUGGGUAGCACUGAAAUAGACUGUAACUGCUUUAUCUCCUUUUUUCUUUUUAAAUCUCUUGUUCUUAAUCUCCCCCAUCCCCACCCUUUUUGGGUAUAACAUACAUACAUCAUGUACUUAUCUGAAGCACACACUUGUGUGUGCUUUUUUACCAAUGCAUACAUUCUUGUCAUCAACACCCAGAUCAAGAUACAGAACAUUUCCAUCACUGCAGAAAGCUGCCUCAGGCCCUUUUCUAGUCAAUGUCCACUGACUCCCUUCUUUUGUGAUACCCACUAUUUAAUUGCCAUCACCAUCAGUAAGUUUUUCCUGCAUUAGAAGUUCAUGUAAAUGGAAUCACACAAUAUGUACUCUUUUGUGUCUGGCUUCAUGUGCUCAUUGUGAUUGUUUUAAAGCUUUAUCUUCAUUGUUGAAUGUAUCAGUAGUUUGGUUUUUACUGCUUUGCAGAAUUCCAUUGUAUGGCAUACCACAUUUACCUAUUUUCCAGUUGACGGAUAUAUGGGUUGUUUCCAGUUUGGGCUAUUAUGAAUAAAGCUGUGAACAUUCAUAUAUAUGUAUAUCCC
rnacentral:lncRNA from 13 species